rnacentral:rRNA from 1 species
UACGGAGGAUGCAAGCGUUAUCCGGAUUCAUUGGGUUUAAAGGGUGCGCAGGUUGGAAUGUAAGUCAGUGGUGAAAUACUGCCGCUUAACGGUAGAACUGCCAUUGAUACUGCGUUUCUUGAGUAUGGUUGAGGUAGGUGGAAUGUGUUGUGUAGCGGUGAAAUGCAUAGAUAUGACACAGAACGCCGAUUGCGAAGGCAGCUUACUAAGCCAUUACUGACGCUGAGGCACGAAAGCGUGGGGAUCGAACAGGAUUAGAAACCCGAGUAGUCC